GACGAACGCUGGCGGCGUGCUUAACACAUGCAAGUCGAGCGAGGCCCUCCUUCGGGAGGUGUCCUAGCGGCGAACGGGUGAGUAACACGUGGGCAACCUGCCCCCGGCUCUGGGAUAACUCCAAGAAAUUGGGGCUAAUACCGGAUAUGACCGCUGACCGCAUGGUCUGGUGGUGGAAAGAUUUAUCGGCUGGGGAUGGGCCCGCGGCCUAUCAGCUUGUUGGUGGGGUAGUGGCCUACCAAGGCGACGACGGGUAGCCGGCCUGAGAGGGUGACCGGCCACACUGGGACUGAGACGCGGCCCAGACUCCUACGGGAGGCAGCAGUGGGGAAUAUUGCGCAAUGGGCGGAAGCCUGACGCAGCGACGCCGCGUGGGGGAUGACGGCCUUCGGGUUGUAAACCUCUUUCAGCAGGGACGAAGCGCAAGUGACGGUACCUGCAGAAGAAGCACCGGCCAACUACGUGCCAGCAGCCGCGGUAAAAC
rnacentral:rRNA from 1 species